CCUACGGGCGGCAGCAGUGGGGAAUAUUGCACAAUGGGGGAAACCCUGAUGCAGCGACGCCGCGUGAGUGAAGAAGUAAUUCGUUAUGUAAAGCUCUAUCAGCAGGGAAGAAAAUGACGGUACCUGAGUAAGAAGCCCCGGCUAACUACGUGCCAGCAGCCGCGGUAAUACGGAGGGGGCAAGCGUUAUCCGGAUUUACUGGGUGGAAAGGGAGCGUAGACGGCAGUGCAAGUCUGGAGUGAAAGGCGGGGGCUCAACCCCCGGACUGCUCUGGAAACUGUACGGCUGGAGUGCAGGAGAGGUAAGUGGAAUUCCUAGUGUAGCGGUGAAAUGCGUAGAUAUUAGGAGGAACACCAGUGGCGAAGGCGGCUUACUGGACUGUAACUGACGUUGAGGCUCGAAAGCGUGGGGAGCAAACAGGAUUAGAUACCCCAGUAGUC
rnacentral:rRNA from 1 species